GCAUAACGCGAAGAACCUUACCAGGUCUUGACAUCCCUCUGACCGGUACAGAGAUGUACCUUUCCUUCGGGACAGAGGAGACAGGUGGUGCAUGGUUGUCGUCAGCUCGUGUCGUGAGAUGUUGGGUUAAGUCCCGCAACGAGCGCAACCCUUGUCGUUAAUUGCCAUCAUUUGGUUGGGCACUUUAACGAGACUGCCGGUGACAAACCGGAGGAAGGUGGGGAUGACGUCAAGUCCUCAUGGCCCUUAUGGGUAGGGCUUCACACGUCAUACAGUGGUCGGUACAGAGGGUUGCGAAGCCGCGAGGUGGAGCUAAUCUCACAAAACCGAUCGUAGUCCGGAUCGCAGUCUGCAACUCGACUGCGUGAAGUCGGAAUCGCUAGUAAUCGCGAAUCAGAAUGUCGCGGUGAAUACGUUCCCGGGUCUUGUACACACCGAGUCUUGUACACACCGGGUCUUGUACACACC
rnacentral:rRNA from 1 species